UGAAGAGCAGGGUUCAGGAGAAGAUGAGGAGAAUGAUCACGGUGAUUAUAACUCCAAAUGUUAGACUUCUGAAAAUAAAAGAUUCUGAGUUUUCUGAGCUCUGAAGGUGGAGAAUACUUACUGUUUGAUAUAUUUGGGGUAAUGUGCUUCGUUACAGUCUAUCAGCUGGACUGAAACGACGUGCUGUGAACUACAGGACGUAGAUCCUAUUAUCCUUACCAGCUGAAUCCUACAACACAGCUUUAAGUUUUUAAUCAAGCUGAAAUCCCGGAGAUAAUAUCGGAAUCAACGUUAUCUCAAAAAAGAAAAUGCACUCAUUAAUUGUAACUAACCACCCUAUUAAAGGGGUGAUGAACACAAUUAAUAAAUAUCCUUUUUUUCCAUGAAGGAUAAAUAGAUUCUUAAAAAUUUUUUGCUAUCGCAAUCUUGUCGAUGGAAAAAAAAUUUCAACUCGACUACAUAUGAAGGAAAAUCCAUUGGAAAGUUCCCAACCUGUGUAAGGGAAGGGUAGGGACUCAGUUGAAUAGCAACCUCUCCUCCAAUUUUAACAUGGAAAUACAAGACGAAAGAUGAUAUAAUUGUGCUCAUCUAUGCUACGACAUUUAAAAACAUCAAGGUCAAAAUGUCGAAACUCAAAUUCAACAAAAUAAUAAAUGUGUAGUAUUUUUUCAAAAUUUGU